GACGAACGCUGGCGGCGUGCCUAAUACAUGCAAGUAGAGCGCACAGUUUAUACCGUAGCUUGCUACACCAUAAACUGUGAGUUGCGAACGGGUGAGUAACGCGUAGGUAACCUGCCUGGUAGCGGGGGAUAACUAUUGGAAACGAUAGCUAAUACCGCAUAAUAUUGAUUAUUGCAUGAUAAUUGAUUGAAAGAUGCUAUUGCAUCACUACCAGAUGGACCUGCGCUGUAUUAGCUAGUAGGUGAGGUAACGGCUCACCUAGGCGACGAUACAUAGCCGACCUGAGAGGGUGAUCGGCCACACUGGGACUGAGACACGGCCCAGACUCCUACGGGAGGCAGCAGUAGGGAAUCUUCGGCAAUGGACGAAAGUCUGACCGAGCAACGCCGCGUGAGUGAAGAAGGUUUUCGGAUCGUAAAGCUCUGUUGUAAGAGAAGAACGGGUGUGAGAGUGGAAAGUUCACACUGUGACGGUAUCUUACCAGAAAGGGACGGCUAACUACG
rnacentral:rRNA from 1 species